GGAUUGAGAACGUCAUCAUGUGCACAUCGGAUGCUGUGCUAAGGAAGAAAGCUUUUGAUGUACUAGAAAGGAUUAGUGUUUUUUACUUAAGAUGUCUGCUCUUGCAUCACUAAAUAGCAAGUGUCGCUCAAGAGGAAAUUGAAGCAGCGGAAGAGCUUUUGAAGCAUAGAGCAUAAGUGGAUACAGAAUGUGGACAGGGCUCCCAACAUUUCACUAGGACAAAAUGUCCGGACGAGGAUAAAGCAAUUCUCUUUGAUGAAUAAGUUCAAGAAGAAAGUUCUCAGAGUAGUAGCAGACAAUUUGCCUGAUGAGCAAGUGGAUCAUAUCAAAGAGAUGUUCGACGUGAUGGACACCAA